CGCGUAGGCGGGUUGGAAAGUCCGGUGUGAAAUCUCACAGCUUAACUGUGAAACUGCAUCGGAAACUCCCAGCCUAGAGUGCGGGAGAGGAGAGUGGAAUUCCCAGUGUAGAGGUGAAAUUCGUAGAUACUGGGAGGAACACCGGUGGCGAAGGCGGCUCUCUGGACCGCAACUGACGCUGAGGCGCGAAAGCUAGGGGAGCAAACG
rnacentral:rRNA from 1 species